rnacentral:tRNA from 1 species
UGUGGCUUAGUUGGGAGAGUGCUUGCCUGGCAUGCAUAAAGCCUUGGGUUCUAGUCCCAACA